CUCCCACAGCUGCACCUUGCCUUCCUCAGGUUCCCAAGGCUAGCAAAGGUAACGAGCUGGAGAGGCUGACGGCUGCACUUAAUGGGGUUUUUGAUCUGCUAGGGGGGUCUGGUUGGUUGUUUGCUGUAGUCACAGCAAGGUUUGUUUUGUAGAAGCUAAUUCAUUAAGAAGAUAGGAGGAAUAAGAAAUAAAAAUUACUGCAUCAAAAGGUAAUCAGGUAAUUAUCUAAAGAUAAUUGGGUAAUUAAGCUAAAGACUUGCUUUCCUUUCCUCUUAGGCCUCUCCAGUAUGCCUGACGGUGAGGAGAGGACUGAAGGGCAGGGCCGGGGUUGCUGGCCAGAAUUUUCCUGAGUGUUAAUAGAACCGAUUGCUCCUCUGUAGCUGAACAGAGAGGCAAGGAAGCUGGUGCCUCGAAGUUUGUUGGAAGCCAUGAAAUGACUCACCCUUAAUCUUUUCUGCUGUUUAUUGGCUAGAAAUUACAGUAGGUGGUGUUGGUCUGAGCUUGCUGUAGAGCUCCGGGAAGGGGUCUGUGCCUGCUCUGGGUAGCGGUACAUGGAGCACACAUGCCAUGCACCUGUAAGACAGACACUUGCCACAUAAGCUGCAAUGUAUAUAGUGCACAUAAUGCACUAUAGGGGCAGCAUUUGAUGACCUGGCUGUUCUCUUCUAGAUCCAUGGGUUUUGUUUUGAUAUUGCUCACCCUCCCAGCCCAUUAACACAAGGUAUGGGCCAGGGAGGUAACUUCUCAGAACUACAUUCUCCCCUCGUUUCAAAAGCUUGCCAUAAACCUGGGAGCACAGGCACCAAACAGGAAUCCAGCAGUUCUGCCCAUUGAACUUCCAUUCCUUCCAAGUUGUUUUUCAGCCCUCAUCAGCCUGGCUGCCCACACAGAGCAGUCAAGCUGCGGAAUUUGCCACGUGACACAAGGGAUGCGAAGGGCUUGCAUGAGUUCCCAGCUAAUCUGGAAAGGUUCACAGCUGAGAAGUUUACUGGGUCUUAAUAAAUAUAUAGAAUUUAUGCCCGACUGAGCAAUUUCCAAAGUAAAACAAAUAGCUGGGCGUUUUCAGAAGAGGUAUCACUAACUGGCCAUGCUGUUCUUUGUUUCUCUGGGCAUCAGGUUUUUCCCUCUGACAGAGGAAGCAUAAAGGACAGAUGAAAACUUGGUCUGACCCAGCACUGCUGAUCUCUAUGUUCCAAAAAAGUUGGGAUGAAGGAUUCAGUGCGGGGGAAGCUUUUCCCACCUAUCCAUGUGCUCCUUUGUGAUGAGCUAACAGGGUUUUUUCCCAUGCCGUUUUGCUGAUCGUCUGCCAUUACUGAAAGUUCUCAUGAUGUCUAAUGCUGCUGUUAUAAAUGGCAAUAAUAAAUUCAGGUGGCAUUCAUGGUAGCAUGCGUGGAGGGGGGGGGGGAAAUUAGUCAUCUGCUUUUUGUACAUUAACAUGCAGCACUUCAGUGUGCUUUUACUGCACCACCUGCACUUAAUAAGAUUACUGCCCAUUCACUAAGCCACAUCUUGGCAGGCUGUCCAGCAUCCACAAGAGUCCGUAACUGCUCUGUCAUACUUUACAUCUCCUGAAUGUUUUUCCAAAAGCUUUACUAUACUGGCUCUGCCUUGUUACCUUUAUUUUGCAGCAGAAUUGAAACAGAGGUGGUUUCUCCAGGGUCAUUCAAGUGAUCACAGCCUGCCCCGCUCACUCCUUUAGGUGCACAGCUGGUCAUAAUUCUUGAAUGUACUGUCAGGUGUCAGCUACAGGUGCAACUAAUUUGCUCUCAUUGCUUUGUCUACUGCUAUUUUCUUUCAGAGACCCAUUAGUGUAAGACAGACCUCCUCUUCAAAUUCCCUUUUGGUCUUAAUUGCAAUACCUCAGGAGUAAAAUGCAGCCACCAUGCUUUCCCCUUGUCCCUGCAGCAGUCAGCUACACUCAUCUUCUGAUUUGGCAGCAUUUGAGUGAAGCACAAACCAAGUCACAAGCAUUUGAUACAGGCACUUGACAUUUCAUGAGCAUCCUCGUUCUUUGAUAGGCUAUAAUUGGGCAUAAAGAGGGCAGGCUGGCACAGUUGCUGUAUUUGUGCCGAGUUGUCCUUGCAUUUGUAGGGAGUGGCAUACUCUAGGAAACCAGAAGGCUUUUCAGGAAGGGUUAGUCCUUCCAGCCUCCUAAGGAAGGAGGCAUCUGUAUUCAAUUAAGAGCUUUGUUCAGCCUGGAGUGGGCAGGGCAAUUGGAGAAGCCCAAACUGAUGGAAGGUAGAAAGGCUAUCAGGGAGUAACUAAGCACUCCCAAUAGUACGAGUUGAAUGGCAUCAAGUGAAACUAGCACGUGGCAGCUUCACAACCAGGAGCAUCCUUCCACACCAGUAUUAGUUGAGCUGCAAAAUUUCUUGCCAGAGAGCACUGUCUGGAAGCUCACACAGUUCCCAAAAGAAACCCUUGGGGAAGAAAGCUGUCAAAUACAUACCAUCACCUCUGCUGCCAGGACUUAAGCCCAAGGCAGUUGGAAAGUUGAGAGUAUACCAUUUAAUGCUUAUCUUCGCUUUAUGUUUCCCAAAGCAUCUGCUGUUGGCCACUGUCAGAGGCAGGAUUUGGGGCUGAGCAGACCUUUGGUGACCUGCUUGUGGCUGUUCCUGUAACCCUGACUGAGGACACUCCUACUUCACUGCAGAAAUAUCGAAGACUGUUCUUCCCCUCCCUGUAGACCCCCUCGUAUUUGAACAGGUUGGUCUUCUGUCUGGUGUCAGUUCAAGAACUCAUCACUUACCUGUUGGCAAGUACAGGCUCAGCCCACAAAAGGACAGGAAGGAAAGCAGAGGGAUUCAUCCUUCAUCAUCCAUUCCUGGAAGACUGUAGCGUUCCUGCAUCGUUCUGUGCAAAGGAUUAGUCUUUUAGGUCGGAUCCAGAGCAUGGGAGCUGGACCUAGGCACCAGCUCCUGGGAGUGAGAUAAACUAGUCCUGCCCAAUAUACUUAAUGAUGAAAUCUGGCCUCGCUGACUACAGCAAAUGCUGGUGGUUCUGAAUGAUGCUAAAUCACGUGAGAAUACACAGCAUGAAAACAGUAUCUGCCAGGGAUUUUAAAGCGUCUUGAAUCGUUUCAUCCUAACCAAGCACCUCAGUAACACGUUAGAUUCAGCUCUUUGUGUUGUAAUCCCCAGAGCCACCUACACUGCCCUGUUAGGAGGCUGUUUUGCCUGUCAAGAAUUAAUCAGUUUCCAGUUCUGGAGCUGUGCAGUAGCAUAUUAAAAAAAAAUCACUCCGAUAUAAGCAGCGUUGGUUGGAAAAUAGGGAGAUAUGACUUACCUUAAGUGUAGCCAUCAACCUGUUGCUGACUUUAGAGCGCCAAGGUAAACAGUGUUUCCAGCCAGCCCUUCUGCCUACCUGCUUUGUCUUGCUGCUUACUUUGCUUAUUUUCACACACAAAGCUGACAAAGCACCAUCACUUAGCAUGAUAUGCAUUUCUUCUAUUGCACUGGGAAUAAUCUUUCAUUACUAUAAGCUUUUUCAAUUUUCUUAAGGCCUUUUACCACUUUGCCCAUGUAGCAUAAUUUAUUUUCUUGAGUGGUUUACAUAUUAAAGUGUGAAGUUGUAUUUAUAUGUCUCUGAAGAGUUCUUUGCCGGCCAGUGAAUCAGUGUUUUGGAGGUUUUCUUUGCUCUAUCUUUCCGCUUCCACAGUGCAGUUUUUCACCUACAAAUGAGACUUCAAACCUGCUGGCUUCUGCCGCCUCUCACCAUUUCAAUCACCAGUCCAAUUCUCAGCUCCAGACAGACAGUGUAGGGCCUGGCACCCUUCCUGCAGCAGGAGCUUCUCACUUUGGUCCAGAGCAGCUGAGGACCCUUCAAACAGCAAGCUGCAACUGUCCCUCUGACUUGCUGUCCUUUGGUUUUCUGGCUUCAUGCCCUUAGUUUAAGUUACAUAUUUUUAUCCAUAUAUUUUUUUAUAUAGUUUAAGAAGUUUAGGCUCUGUCUACCGUUGCCGUUAAAAUUGAAAUGGUUCUUUCCUUCCCGUACAUCCUCCUGCCUCUUGUAGCUUCAGCUUUUCUUAAGCUAUGUAGCAAAGAGUGGGCAUUAAGUGUGAUUAAAGAUGCCUGUGGGUGUGCUCACAAUGGCGCCCAGGGAAAACUAAGAAAACUAAAACUAAACUGCUUUGUGCAAGUGCUGUUAGUGAUGGAGAGCUGGUGCAGCACUGGAGGUAGGGCAGAACAAGGCACCGUCUAGCCCUCACUACUUCUCAUGGAAGAAAGGCAGCACAACAUGCUCCUACCAGAUAUGCCAGUACCAGAUUGCAGUCACAGCACAUCACUUGUCUGCCACAAAUGCCUUUUGGUAAGUGCUCAGGUUCAGCUAGCUGAGAACUAUGUUCAUGUGAGGCUUAGGGCCAGGGUUUUUUUUCCUAGAGACCCAAACCUUAGGCAGAACAUCUUUGUCGGUCAAUGAGGUAAACGCUGGGUCUAUUGGUGUUAAGCUGGUUAACAAAAAACCAAACCCACAGCUUUUCCUAAAAAUAGGUUCAGAGGAUUUAAAGUUCAGGAAGAGUAGCAUCUUUUGACCUUGUCUUGUGUCAGUGGCAUCCUGUUUUGCAGACUAGACCCUUGGUAAUACUGCGUGUACUUCACUGCCUUCUGGGCUUGGGGGAGGAAAAAGGAAAAUAAUAUUUAGAGGAAGCUGAAGAGAGGUGGUAGGCAAGACCAGGAGAAGCUGGAGCUUAUGAGAUGCACAAUCAUCACCAUGAGUGGAUUCACCUGCAUGCACCUGAGCUGAGAAGGGUGUCUGCAGGGCUCUCCCAUGCGCUCAGCUCCUAGUCGUUCCUCUUGCACCAUCACCCUCCGACCUGCAGCUGCUGGGAAGCACUGGAGCAGCUCAUUAGGCAGUACAACAGGUGAGCCAUUAGGACAACCUUUACACCAUUCCCUUUGGAUGUGUGCCAGCUGCACAGAUGGCUUCUUUUUGGCUCUGUUUUCUGCUGAGUUGUACAUAUAAGAGCCUUCCUCAGAUCAAACCUGCCUUUGCAUAGCUAGCUAGAACAUAGCUGUGUGGCUGGUUGUGAAAGGGCACGUUCCCUCAUAAAUAUGAGGCUCACCUCCUCUGUUUUGGGAUAUUUUACCCACCUGCUGAGGGUUUUGAAGGCUACUAGGAGCAAAGGAAAAUGUAUCAAGCAGAAAAACACAUUACAACAUCUAAAAAGCAUAAAUUGAAAGCCGAAUGGUCUGCUGAAAGCCUGACUCAAGCAAUAGGAGUGGCUGAUCAUUAACUGUUCUGUAGUAGGUGAGGCAGUGCUAUAAAAGCACAUUACUAGGAUUAAUUCAUCUAGCACCAUAAACCCUCUUUUAAGUAGGUGGAUUACCCCACUGAAUAAGAAAAAAAUAGUAGAUAAACACACUCCAUGGAAGCUAAUAUUAAGUACAUCAGCUGCGCAGAGCCCCACACACAUUUGUCCCCAACUCACUGUUCGAGACUGCAGCAACAAGGCCCCCUAACUUUGAGCAAGGCAUUUUCCCUGCUAUUCACAGGAAAUCCCAGCUAGGAUUUGUGGUCAAGAUAUCCCACAUGGCAACUCAUCCUUACAGUUAUUAGAUGUUUUACUAUUCAUUCCUUAAUUAAACACCUCUUUCUUUAACACAAUAAUGCAGUACAGCAGCAGGGAGCAGAAACUGAAGUCUAAAGAAGAGAGGAGCUUACAACUGCUUCCUUACAAGAGGCAUCUUGCAGUAUUAUGUACUAGUACAAGCCAGCCCUAAUGAAAUGAGAAGAUUUCUGGCCAGCUACAGUCUUGGAUGCCAAAACAGGACAGAGGAAGAUAGGGAAACCCUUAGUUCAGACUACGAGCAAACAUACAGGUUAAACAAACAGACCUAAACUGCUAACAGCACAUAACCACUGACGGGCCAGGAGAUGGAAGUGUCCAUGCAAAGGCAGAAAGGGUCCUAGGGACCUUGAAAGAUAGAGAUCUCAUUUUCCAGUUUACACUUCUUAUACAACAGAAGAAAAAUAUCAGCUUAAGCCAGCAAGUCAUCUGCUACAGCCCUACAUAAGGUUUGGAGCGUGGAUCUUGAAGAGGCCCUCAAACAGGAUCUUAAGGAAAAAAGGCAGCAAAGCCUGAGGAAAAAGUGUGUUUCGGUGUUGUUGCCCUUUGUACAAUAAAAGGAAAACAAUCCUUCCUGGCUGUUCCCUGGCCUCCCAUACAGGUGAUGGGUUCACCGCUUUUCCUGUGAUGCUCUGUCUACCCCUAUCGCACACUCCACAUCUGUUAGCAACCUAUGGCUCUGUAGGGGAUACAUGCAUGGCUAAGUAUAUGAAGAAAACACUAGGGAUAUUCAUGUGCUUUGGACAUGUUCAUCUGAGGCUCUCUGGAGCUGUGUGUUUUCUUCAGCCUGACGAAGCUGCCCAGGAUGCUCUGUCGAUCGCGUAUGUGGUCCAGGUGAAUGCUCCUCGUGCUGUAAUUUUACCUGCUGUAGGAAAGAUGCCUCCUGCAAUGAAAGUGAUUGUUUCGUGGUUUAUAAAACAGACCUAUAUGGGUUUGUCUCGGUCUCCUCCCUCCACCUGCUCCUGCCAGCCUUUCUGACUGCAGGUGGGGUUUGCCGAUGGGGCAGCAACGUCCCGAGCACGCCGCUGCCAUCAGACACAGGACGGGCCUGGGUGUCAGCUGGGAGCAAACCAUCAACCUCGGAGCAAGAGCACUGGGGAGGCCAGUCCCUGUGCAGGGAUGGGGACAGCGGAGCCAGGUGUCACCCCUUGCUCCCUGAGCCCUGGUGGAGGGCUGGUGUGGGGCUGCGGGUGCGCACAUCGGCGCGGUACCCAAGUCGCUUCCCACCGGGCAGCAGCUGUGUCCUGUCAGCAGAUCCAGGCUGGCAAGCCAGAAUCCAGUGCACUUGGUUACUGUCAUGGUGGGCCUUUUUGCCUUCCAGUCCCUCCACAAGGCCUAGAGACUUUAAAAUGAAACAAGCGGCCUUUUAAAUGAGAGCAGAGACACGCGUAAUCCCACGUAGCCAUAGGACAUUAAGCCUACGGUAUUGAUGUCUCGGUUUGGCUCUUGUAACUGGUCAGAAAGUCUUAUGGGGCCAAUAGGCAGCACAUAGCUCAUAAUUUUAUAGCCAGAAAUGAUUAAAAUAAUUAUAAUAAAGUAAUAAUAAUAAACCUUCACUUACUUUAAUGUCAAAUCUUUCUGACACUAACUGAUUCCUCCAGCUUGCAUGUAACUCCCGUAGUCUGAAACUCUGAAUGAGUCCUACAGUCUCAUUCCACAAUCCCACGAGUAAAAUUUCAAAAGCUGAAUUUAACUUCUCAAUAGGUGAAAGGCUUUAUGGGCCCCUAUAAGAGAUUUCACUGAACAGGAAAAGCUUUCCUUUGGAAGCCAACUUAUUAAAACGGCAAAGUCAAGCACUGUCAAAAUCAUAGCGAGUGCUGUGAGCCUGUCACUUUGAAAUUGUAGGGGCAGAUGGUGAGAAACUUUCCUGCUGGUCAGGGAACUUUCUGACAGCUCAGUUACUUAGACCAGACUGAUUUUUUUUAUUUUUUUUUCAAAUUUUUUUUGUAAGAACAAAACUUGGAUUACCUCCCAUUUGUCAUAGGCUAAAAAGCAUGUAUCACCUUGUACAGGCCAGCUGCUCCGUGGUAAUGUCACAUCCCAGAAUAACCUUAUCAUUUGAUAGUGCCUUUGGUAAAGCAAGGAAACCUGUGAGCUUAUUCCCUGUUCUGUCUUCCUCCCCAGCCUUAGCAACCCAGAACUGAAAUGCAGUGGCAUGUUCGUUUUCGUUUGGUUGGUUGGGGUUUUUUUCCUACCCAAGAGACUCGAAGUAACAGCAAACUUUUAGGAUUGGGCUUAAGAGCUAGACAGCAAGGCGGUCCCUAUUCAAACACAAAGAAUGGCUGGAAGAACACCCGCUGCUGAACGUGGGCUGCCUACCCGACCGCCAGCUGCCUUCAGCAUGCCAACACCGUGCUUCAAGGCUCCUCAGAAUUUUUGGGGUUGGGUUUGGUUUGGUUUAUCUGAUUGCUGGUGAAGAAGCUUUCUUUUCCCUGGUAUUUUAAAGGCGGAUGUUGUGACCUGUCACUUGCUAGACUUGUUUGAUGUGAAAUUGGAGUGUGGCCACAGAAAAGCACACUGCAGGACUGUGUUUAUCGGGCUUUCUGCUGGAGGUAACGCUGAACGGCUUGGUUCCCAGUUUUGUUGGAGUUUCAGCUCAGAUUUGUGUUGUAAAUGUAACAAUUGUAUUUUAGGAGGGAAAUUGGCACGUGUGGUCUACAAAUAGAAGGCCCAGGCCCGGCAACUUUGCUUUAGCUUCCCCCCAGGCUGUGGCUUUCCCCAGGCAAGCAGCCAUGUUUAUAUGAAAUUAAUUGCAGAAAUGGUGCUAGAAACACCAAAGCCCAAAUUCACAGCUAACAUAAACCCUCUCCAGACAUUGAGGGGCUUCUCUAAUUCACACCUACUGAGAGCACUGGCUUUUUCCGCUGGGAGAUACUUGCCAAAUGUCAAAAUACUAAAUGGAUUUUAAGUCCUUUUGCUCCUAAGAAUUAAAGAAAUUAAAUCGAAAGAACAAUAGAACCAAAGCAAAAACAUUUUUUAGUGCUGCUUGGUUGGCGAGAGGUUGCAAAACAGAAUCUUUUGCUUUGCAGAUGCUCUCUAUUUAAAAUAACUGGGAGAUACCUGCAGAAAACACCCUCAAUUUCAGCUCAAAUGAGAGUAUAGAGGUGUUGAGGGCUAAUUAAAACAGUUGAUGUUUGUUCAAAUUUUGAAGAAGGGAAAACCUGGAAAAGCACCGCUUUUUAUUAUCCAUAAACUUGCCUUUUCCUAAUCCAGGGCUAUUCUUUAGCUAAGAAAGUAUUUUCAAACUGUGACAUGCAAUACAUGAUAAAACUAUACAUACCGAUUUACUCACCUAUAUAAAAUGGUUUUUAAUUGAAGUAGACAGUAAUGUCAGAGCUAAAACUUAUUCUCCUUACUGACGUGAGGGCAAAUUAAACUGCCUUAUUUCUCUAGUGCUUUUGCUUUGAAAAGACCAGCCUAGUUCUUAUUGUACAUGGCAGGAGCAGCCAGAGGACUCAAAUUAGGAUACAUCUAAUCAUUCCAUAAGAAAAAAAUAGUCUUCUGUAUAUUUCUUUCCUGUAGCCUUUCAGUAAGAAGUCGAGUGAUGUCUCGAGCUCCCUGCACGUGGGAUCAUUCCCACCCACAGUGCCUGCUGGGGCCUCCCCUGCACCCGCAUGUGCGUGUGCCGCUUACCGCGCUGCAGCCUGCUGUGACUGAGAACAGGCCUCCCGAACCGAAGAUGUGAGGUUCAGCAUUCCUGUUGGAAAGCACAGCCUGGCCUAUGGUCUGGGAUUUUGAAGAUGUGCAGUAAGAGUUAAAUCAUAGAGUGGAUCUUUAGCAGGGUUUCCAUGAGCUGAAGAAUGAUGUAUGGUGACUCUCCGGGUUAAGCCAACGACAGAUUUUGCUAAAGAGUUUCUUUUUCUUUGUACUCAAUCUCUGUCCUUAGAAUUGAUGUUACUUGUGGGGACGGGUACGUUAUAUGUGAUUUUACAUCUCUCUGACUGAAAAACGCCCAUUAUAAAGCAGCAGCGUUAGUAUUUUCUCCCACUUACCAGAACAAGUGCUUUGACAGGGCUGCCUGUCAUAAGAGAGGACACCUGCUGUAUAUUUACACUUUAUGCUCUUUGACUAUGUGUAAAAUGCACUUUUACCUGGACCAUAUUAUAAGUACUUGAAUGAGAACCGGGAAAUUAUUAGCGUAUUCUUCCAUUCCCAAGGAUAACUAUCAAAGCAGAUCUCCUACACAUUAGCACCCACAUUUCUGCCUCAAGCAGCUCAGUGAACAGGAUUAUUAGUGUGAACUUGUGUUAGCUAUGUGCAAAACUCUGUACACUGAGAGAGGAGAGAAAAAAAUUCUUAUUGCUUCAUGUACAAGCGUUGGGGUGAAUUUUACUAGGCAUGUGACUGUAUAAUCCCAUGCCUCUGAGAGCAGAUCAAGUCAUCUGGGAAGAAUUUUACAUAGCUGUGCUUUUAGUCAAAAUCUUUUGCAUUUCAGAGAACACCAUAUCAACCAAU